rnacentral:rRNA from 1 species
AGUGAACGCUGGCGGUAGGCCUAACACAUGCAAGUCGAACGGCAGCACAGUAAGAGCUUGCUCUUACGGGUGGCGAGUGGCGGACGGGUGAGGAAUACAUCGGAAUCUACUUUUUCGUGGGGGAUAACGUAGGGAAACUUACGCUAAUACCGCAUACGACCUACGGGUGAAAGCAGGGGAUCUUCGGACCUUGCGCGAUUGAAUGAGCCGAUGUCGGAUUAGCUAGUUGGCGGGGUAAAGGCCCACCAAGGCGACGAUCCGUAGCUGGUCUGAGAGGAUGAUCAGCCACACUAGAACUGAGACACGGUCCAGACUCCUACGGGAGGCAGCAGUGGGGAAUAUUGGACAAUGGGCGCAAGCCUGAUCCAGCCAUACCGCGUGGGUGAAGAGGGCCUUCGGGUUGUAAAGCCCUUUUGUUGGGAAAGAAAAGCAGCAGGUUAAUACCCCGCUGUUCUGACGGUACCCAAAGAAUAAGCACCGGCUAACUUCGUG